UACGUAGGGGGCAAGCGUUGUCCGGAAUCACUGGGCGUAAAGCGCGCGCAGGCGGCUAUCUACGUCCGGGGUGAAAGCCCAGAGCUCAACUCUGGGAUUGCCUUGGAUACGGGAUCGCUUGAGGAUCGGAGAGGCAAGGGGAAUUCCACGUGUAGCGGUGAAAUGCGUAGAGAUGUGGAGGAACACCUGUGGCGAAGGCGCCUUGCUGGCCGAUUUCUGACGCUGAGGCGCGAAAGCGUGGGGAGCAAACAGG
rnacentral:rRNA from 2 species